CGGUUGGCUUCGGCUUGCCAGCACUAACGACUUCCGGAGUCCUGCUAAUGGAUGGGAACGGCGCGCGGCUGGCUUCCAGUGACCGGAAUUUCGCUGGAAUCUCAGGACGCCCGACUUCCGCUUGGCUUCAGGUCGCCAGCGCAACCCGGUUCCGGUCAAGUCUGGCUCGGUGCAAAAGCAGCUCCCGGUUUCCAGUGACUGCUGCUCAGUCCCAGCAUUCCAGUCUUCCGGUCGGCUUCAGCACGCCCAUACUACCGACUUCCGGUUACGGACAAGCGGCUCCGCGCCUGCAAGUGAGCGGCUGCCGGUGACGGGAAUUCUGCUUCUGCGUCACAGGAUGCCCGACUUCCGGAUGGCUUCGCUGCCAGCACUAGCGACUUCGUGUCCCGGUGUUUCUGUUCCUACCGCGCACAGUGACCGGCCGGCUUCCAGUGACUGUGAUUCAGCCUGUGAGUCCAGCACGCCAGACUUCCUGUUGGAUUCGCUUGCCACUACUACCGACUUCCUGUCAGAGUCUUUCUUUUUCCGACGCCGCAGGAAGAACGACCGCUUUUGACGGGAACUCGGCUUGUGAGUCCCGGGAUUCCCGACUUCCCUUUGGCUUCGGAUGCCAGCACUAUCGACUUCCUGUCCUCCCUCAGAGACCGCACCAGCAGCGCUACGGCCACAGGUCUUCCGGUUCCGUAAAGGCUCCGCGAGCACCGCCGCGAAUCCCACGUGAGAAACGCACGGCUCCCAGCUUCCGGUGCGUUACCGAAUCCGUCUGUGGGGGGAAGCGGGGCACCGGGGCCGGAAACCGAGGUUCUCCUUCCACCGCGACCCAUUUGCCGCUCCUGAGACUCACACUUCCUGCCGGUGCCCUUGCGCUUCCCGCUGCGCAGCAACAAGGUUCCGCUGCGACCGGCACCCGGAAACGGUCUGUGCGGAGACCGGGACGGGAGAGAAAAAAAUACAGAGCUUCCGGUGAGCGCUGUGGGCGGGACUUCCGGUUUUCUCUCACAUCCAUUACACUCAAGGGGGACUCAGAGAUGAGUGAAUUAAUGAUGCUCAAGAUUGCCAUGAAGUAUAAAGAUGUGCAUAUUGACUUCACUUGGGAAGAGUGGACUUUGCUGGAUAGUUCUCAGAAGAAUCUCUACAAAGAUGUGAUGCUGGAGACCUAUGAGAACCUCAAUGAUAUAGGUAAGAGUAUGUUUUCCUUCCCAUUUUAAAAUAAUAGGACAACUAUUCCUUGGUUAUUGGUUCCUUGGCUCUUCUUUAAUUUGAUUGAGAAAGAAAUAGAAUGUAAUAAAUAAAUCAAAGUUAUAAAGCUCA
rnacentral:lncRNA from 1 species